AAGUCGAGCGGAAACGAUGAUAGCUUGCUAUCAGGCGUCGAGCGGCGGACGGGUGAGUAACGCGUAGAUAUCUACCUAGUAGUGGGGAACAACCUGUGGAAACGCAGGCUAAUACCGCAUACGUCCUACGGGAGAAAGGGGGCCAAUUCUUGAAAGCUCUCGCUAUUAGAUGAGUCUGCGUCGGAUUAGCUUGUUGGUGAGGUAAUGGCUCACCAAGGCGACGAUCCGUAGCUGGUCUGAGAGGAUGAUCAGCCACACUGGAACUGAGACACGGUCCAGACUCCUACGGGAGGCAGCAGUGGGGAAUAUUGCACAAUGGGCGAAAGCCUGAUGCAGCCAUGCCGCGUGUGUGAAGAAGGCCUUAGGGUUGUAAAGCACUUUCAGCGAGGAGGAAAGGUUGGUACUUAAUACGUACCAGCUGUGACGUUACUCGCAGAAGAAGGACCGGCUAACUCCGUGCCAGCAGCCGCGGUAAUACGGAGGGUCCGAGCGUUAAUCGGAAUUA
rnacentral:rRNA from 1 species